GUUAAGAUCAGCUAAUAAAGCUAAUGAGUUCAUAUCUCAUAAAUGAAUUA
rnacentral:tRNA from 1 species